rnacentral:lncRNA from 1 species
GGACAACAAAAGUAAACUAAGACAGAUUAAAGGUCUGGGAAGGGAGAGAAGACACAUCAUUCUCAGCCUAAUAGACGCAUCAAGUGACCUCCCAUCCUACAAAACUUAACUAUUUCUUUGGGGGACACAUUAGACCAUCCUUAUCCAAACUGAACAUGAGGGAGGAUGGGGGCCGUGCAGCUCAAACUUCUGUGCACAUCCAAGGAAUCCAUAAACUCAAAAGCAGAAACAGAAGCUCUUUGGAUAGUAUCCAUUGAGGAUGGUUGACAAUGAUCAAUCACAGCUUUGCACAUUUCUUUCCAUAUGUGCCAGUAAACAAAAUUGAUAAUGGUUUUUUUUUUCCUUUCCAGUUCAGUUUGAGUUGCACCAUCUCCAUAUAUAACAUUCUUGGCUGAGAAAAACAUCGUGCUCCAGGCUUCGCAGGGAUCGAUCUUCAAGGGUAGGACAAUUGAUCUCUUCUGUAUAGAGACGAAUUCCUCAUUCUUCCAAGUUGCUCCAAUUUUGCACUUCACUCUGUAUCUCCCCCUGAAAUGGAGAAUUGGAUACCAGGGCAUGAAAGAACAUCUCGGACUCCAAAAAGGUGACGUCCAAAGUGACAUAGGUGCGACGAGUAGGAGGAUGAUAAUAUCGAUAACCUUUCUGAUGGGUGGCACAAACCGUAAACACACACUGAAGUAUACAUGGAUCAAGUUUUCUUCGUUGGUUUUAUUGAAGAUGAACAUAAGCCACACAUCCAAAGACCUGUGAUGUAAGCAUCAGGAUAGAAGGCAUGGGCUCGUGUUGGGUAGACACCUGUACCGGAGUAUGAAAGCCCAAGACACGAGAUGACAUACGGUUGAGCAAAUACACGGAUUGACGAUGACAUCAUCCUAAAGGUGGCAAGGAACACGAGCCCUAAUAAAAAAUGCUCGAGCUGUUUCAAGGAGAUGUCAAUUUUUUUGUUUAGCAACGCCAUU